rnacentral:lncRNA from 1 species
ACAAGUCCCUGCUGACCCCAAGCAUUUUUCUCUGAGCCGUGGGGGGCAGUGCUGGGGGCAGUCCAGCACGGCCAUCUCCCCCAGCCCCCUCCCAGACACACACCUCCGCUGCCCAGCACCAGCAGGCCCACAGCUGCUCUGCCCCUGGCUGCCCCGUGCCGCUGGGGCUCCUCAGCCCUGCGGAACGACGCGCCGGGGCCCAGCCCGGCCCCGCACACAGCAGCCCCUGCCUUGCCGCGUCCCAGCCCUGCCGGGCACAGCGUAAGGGCUGCCGAGCCCCGGGGCUGCCGCGGGCAGGGGGCUGGAGUUCCAGCGGUGACAGGGCCCUGCCCUGCCCUGCCCUGCCCUGCCCUCCCCUGGGGGCAGCAGGAUGCUGCCCACGGGCUCCAGCGCCCAUGGCCAUGCCCAGGGCCCCUGCGCUGGCGCCAGGGCCGGUACCAGCACAGGCCCCAGGGCUGGUCCCCCACGCCCCCCASGGCCCCYGGGYGCAGGGCAGCCAGCAGCCCUGUGGGGACCCUGCAGCAGAGCCCAGGCCUGGCGGGGCAGCGGCAGCACCCCGGGGCCCCGCAUUGCCUGGGCACAUGGAGACACGCUGCCCCGAAGCCCUGCGCUGCCCUGCGCUGCCCUGCGAUGCCGCCCACAACAUGGCGUCCAAACAAGGGGGAGGGGGAGGGGGCCUAGCACUGGCCUAUCAGGCACUGAGCCACAAGUGACCUCACAACCACAAACAGCAGCCAUGGGCCUAGCACAGGCCUAUCAGGCACUGAGCCACAAGUGACCUCACAAGCACAAAGAGCAAUAAUGUGUCUCCUUGUUGCCUGUCAUUUACAGAUGCACAAGUGCCCUAACAAUGUGCAUCAAAGGAAUUUGCUUGCUGCUUGCCCAUCUGGUUCUGAGGCAGCAGUGUCUUCACAUGCUUCAUCACAGCCAUGUGCCAUCUGCUGGCCUAUCAGACAGCAAGGCAAUAGUGACCUCACAAACAAAAACAGCAGCAAUGUGCCCACCACUGGCCUCUCAAUCCUCAAAGAAAAGUGACCUCACAGUCUGCACUGAAGCCAUGUGCCUGCUGCUGGCCUGUCAUGGACUGAGGCACACGAUCCCCAGAAGCACCAACAGCACUAACCUCCCUACCGCUGCUCUACCAGGUGCUCCUGCAGAAGGGAGCUCAGAACCACAAACAGCAGCAAUGGGCCUGCUCCCCAUUUAGGAGGCACUGAGACACAAGGCACCUCACCAUCAUCACCAAAGCUAUGGGCAUGCUGGUGGCCUACCAGCUGCAGAGGCACAACUCACCUCACAAGCAAAAAUGGCAUCAACGUGCUAAUGCUGCCCUAUCUCGAACCGAGACACAAGGGAUCUGAAAAGUGCAAACCUUCACAGAGGAGAAGCUCACCUGGGCCACUCUCACAUCCCUUGAUUACGCUGUUAUCACUCCGUACAGAACAGUCGUCUGCAAACGGCUUUCAUCUCCUGSCAAGACUCUCUCCAGSUCAUGGCACAGCUCCGCUCUGUCACCCUGUGCACAAAUCACAAAAGGGAACGAUUGGCCUUGCUUUUCCUUUAGUACCAUCAAGUCCVAGCUGGGAGCCUUUGCACUGCAGCACCUAAACAAUGACAGCAGGACACCACUUCCAUUUCUAGUGCAUUUCUAGGGACAGAGAUCAGCUGAGGGAGCAGCUGCACUGCAAAGGGUUGCUGACACUCUCAGAUCAGCUCAGCACUGCACCAGGCAUCAGCCUGAUGCCAGACCUCUGCUCUGCCACCUAGUCUACAAACAC